CUUCUUUCGGUUAUGGAAUACAUGGAUGGAGAACCUUUAAGCAGUGUCAUUAAAGAAGUCCAUAUGACUGAAGGAGAGAUGGCAGCCAUCUGUCAACAGGUAAGCAAUGACACUGGUACUUCUGAUUGUUAGGGCAGUUUGUCUAGGCAGGUGGAAAGAACAGGAGUGAUUUCAUGUUCAGAGCUUUGUUUCUGUGUUGCUUUGACGAUAAGCAGAAGUAAGAGUGUCUUGGGUGGAGGGCCCACCAGUACAACUGUUGUGGCACUCUCUUUUUAAAAAAAAAAUAUUUACUUUUCUGAGCAUUGCCUCUUUGAACAUUUGCCUGGAGCCUGUCUGUAUUGUAUUCCCUGCCUGUAAAAGCAAACACGCUGGUAGCGGAAUUUCAAGCUAACAGCAAAUGAUUGUUUGUCACCUGGGUGGAGAGAGCCCAUGCCCUGCAGCAGCAGUCAUUCUGUCUGUGUUGGCAGGGGACAGUCUGUAAUAAAUAUUGCCAUUUCUCUUUCAAGAGGUAAUAGGUCUUCUCUUAGAAAGAUACUGCUCUACUACUGAUGAAGCAGCAGACUCUUCCUCUUGACAACACCAUGUUCUACCACUACUCAUCUUUCAGCUAGAACUGAGGUCCUUUAGAGACAUUUUCUUUCUUGCUGAUGAAAUCAGGUCAUUAAUUUUUACCCUCCUGUUUGUUUUUUAUCUGUCAGUGCUGCAAGCACAAAAUUCCCUUCACUUCAACCUCGUGAUUCAUAGAGAUGUAAAAAUGAAUGCAAUGAAUGAAAUGAAAUUAAAUGAAUGCAAUGCAAUGAAUGAAUAAAAGCAUUCUUCUUGGAAUGGAUGGAUCUAUCAAACUGAGUAGGUAUUCUUGGUCAAGCACAGAAUUCCUGGAAUGUGGGGCUGCUUAAGACUGACCACCAGUUCCCCAAGAGCAGUGCCUGUGGGAGUGCACAGACCACUGCUGCAAGCUAAGAGUGCAGCUGCUGUCUGCAGAGAGGUCUUAAGAGAAAUAAGGUGUUUAGAGUGGCUUUGGUUUAUGUGUGACUCUUCCAGAGGGUGGGAGUUCCAGUCUUACACUUCAAGUGAAUAAAAGCCACUGAGUGGAAUGUGGAGGUUUCUGUAAGUGACCAAUUCCAAUUUUCCUCAGUUAUGGCCCUGAGGAAUCAGAGCAGGGCCGCUUUUUCAGAUAGAUUCAACACCACAUUCUCAGACUCAGAGUGGGAAAUUCUUUAACUUGGUUUCUUAAUUCAAGCUGGCUUUAGCAACACUAAGGGUUUCCUCCUCAGCCAAUUUUGGCCUCUGUGCUCAGAUGACUUCUUAGCAAAACAAGUGGAGUUCGAUGGUUGGGACAACUCACUGGAUGGCACCGGAAUAUGUGAAUAAGGAUGUGUAUGGGACCAAAGUAGAUAUUUGGUCCCUUGGCAUCGUGGUGUUAGAAAUGCUGCAAGAAGAGCCACCUUACUCCAAGGAAAUGCCUCUCAAGGUAAGGUUCAAUACUAGCAGAUGCCACGGUCACUCUAAUCUGUCCCAUGCUCUGUCUUCCAAGAGACAAGAUCCCAUUCACAUCAGCUUGGACUUGUUCAACCAAGGCCCAUCUACCAGAAGCUGUCCUUGGAGCAUAUCAGCAUCUAGUGUAGCUUUGGCUGCAUCAAUGGGAGAACCUCAGAAGAGGAGUGACAUGUUCCAGUUAAAAAAUGCUCCAUUUUGGCCUUCAGUGAUGCUUCAAAUUUCUCAUUCACUUUUUGAACUCUUUUUGAGCUGUGUUUCAGAAUGAAAAGAAAUGCUCAGCAGCAAAUUUCUUGAACUGGGGAAUUUUUAUGAAAAACAUUUCAACCUUGUCUUCAGGCUCUUUUCAGUCUUGCACCUCUGCCAGUUACUUACCUAUCAGGAAGUGCCUCUGGUUCUAGGAAUGCCUUAAUUAUUCAUUACCAAAUAAUUUCCUAAAAGUAUGUUUUAGCACAGGGCUUAGAUUCAUUAAUGUAUUCACUUGAGUAUCAAAAUUAGCAGAGUUACCACAGGGAUAUUACUUAGAGUUAUGUAGUGGAUUAGAUUUGCUAAUUUGAGUUUCCCGGCCAAUGUACUAAACUAACAUUUAUUUUUCUGAUUAGACCAUUAAAAGUUUUUCUUUGACCAUGGAAGUGAAGCUGAUUGAGAUUUUGGAGUCUAAUUAAAGACAGAGUUGCAGCUGCAUUUUCAUCAUAAAAUAUUUGUGGAUGUAACUAAGUCUGUCUGUGUUGAAUUGAGGUUCCGAAAGUUUCUGUUCCUUUAAGCAAGGAAUAAAUUGAUGGAUUUCCUUUUUGGCAUCUAGGUAACAUUUUUUUUAUGGAAGCUGUGCUUUAGAGACUAGUGAGUACUGCAGAGAUUAAUUGUAUGUAACAAUGCUUGGAAAUAAUGUGGUUAGACCAAAUUCACUCUUUAAAAGAGUCUGCAAAGCCUGUAGAGUCAAUCCUCAGAGCAGCCAAAUGUGCUUUUGGCUGAUGUAAUUCCCACUAACUUGGUCCGCUCAUGAAAUCAGGUGUCAAGGCAAGAUCAUGUGCAUGUUGGAUUAGCUGUGGCAGCUAUUUUGUGGGGUCUUUUUGUUGGUGCAGAAAGAUCAUGCAAGAUUGCUGGGGAAGAAACUGGAGGCUGGAGAUUUAAAAAUGGGGUCUAUGUGAGCAGUAAGGAAUAUGAAAGAAACAGGUAGAGUCUUGUGCUUCCUCUUUCUCUAGGUCCUGGAUCUCAUAGCUAAGAGGAAUACCAAAGCUGGAGAAUGCUGAGUAACUGCAGGACUUUCUGAACUGCUGCUUGCAGACAGAUGAGGACACUCAAUGGUCUGCAGAGCAACUUAUGCAGAUGAGAGUCUUAGUCAAAUGAAAAAGCAGCAGGAUCAGUCACUGCUCUCAGAAAGGGCCCAUCUGAUGCAAAGCUGUCAAUAGAAACAUGAGGUGAGAGUGGGCCCAGCUGUGGCCAGUGCUCAGCCCCAGCAAAACCCUGGCAGAGCACAGAGCAGCCUCAGCAUUCGCAGCCUGGAAGAAGGAGUUCAUAGCAGCAAGCAGCAGCAGACCAGCCCUGGAUGCUUGCCUCUUCCUAGGACCAGACCAUUCAUCCAUAUCAGAGCCAAACUGGCAGUGGGCUGCUCCCAAGGGGAAUCGUAGCCGUGCCAUGAACUGCACAGUCUGGUGGGAUUGGCCACCUGGAGUCUGUGCAGGCUUAGAGAAGCGCCAAAGAGAGGGGAGUGAUGGUGUCACUGCUGAGAAGGUUGCUGUCCUUGGAGACUUGCAGCUAAAAAUUAAUUAACUGUCCUGGAUUUCCUUGAAAGCACAACAGGCCUGAUUUUUCAGAUGGCUGCUGGAGUGAGCAGCUCUGGUUUCCUGAACAGGGGAUCCCCAGGGGAAACAGAGCUGCCAGGAGCCUGCAGUUGGCACGACAGUGGCUGAUGGGACUUGGGUGUUUCAGGAGCAAUGAUGGCAAAGUGCCCAUCCCUGUGGCCUCAAAAGAAGUUCCUGGGGAGCACCAGCAUCCAGGGCAGGAAAACAGUCUGUGGCACAUCAGAUCACACAGAAGUGCCUGCAGGAAGGGCACUGAAGGUCUGCCAGCUUGACCAGGGAGCAGCAGUACCUGAUGGGGAGAAAGCCACAGAAGCUACGGCCUCUCUAAGCUCUGCAUCUCCCAUCACAACUAACACAGUUGUCCAGAGCGAGCUCCAGUGGGAUCCUGCUGCCACCCAGGUGUCAGCUGCAGGCUGUGCCUUGCUCUCAGGGCAGUCCCAGAUAGAAGCAGUGAGCACAGCUGUGGGGGCUGAGCCCAGGAACUCAGUGCCAGAGCUGCAGGAGGAUGACUGCCACAAUGUGAGGAAGGAACAUUUCUGCAAGAAGCCAUCACCUGCAGGACAAGGAAGAGUCUUUUGCCAAGACUUAAAGAAGAAUUUUGGGGCUAAUAGGACUUGAAGAUGGAAUAGGGAAAUUAAUGAGCUUUACUAUCUGCUUUUCUCAUAAACUUACAGUCAUGUGCCACAUUCCAGAUGUCACCUGCCCUAUUUUUUUAACAUUUGUUUUCUUUUUUUCUAUUUAAUUUAUGUAAUUGUGUUUUGAAUAAUGAAUGUAAGAGGGUUUGUGUUGGUUAUGUUUUUAGAGCAUGUUUUUAUAAUGUUUUAUAAUAUGUUUUAUUAUAUGGUUUACUAUGGUUUUAAUUUGUUUUAUUAAGUUCCAUAAUGUGUUUUUUGUUGGUUAAACCCAAAUUUGUUUGCUUCCUUCAUUUUCCAAAUGCAACAUUGAUUUGGAAAAAAUCCAGGCACUCACUUUCUUCCCUUUGGAAACAACACAGCCCCUGGAUUAGUGGGUGGGGAGUGUGAAGGUUGAUCCUUCUUCCUCCAGCCUGUGGGAUUUUAUAAUUUAUUCCUAAGAAUUCCAAAACAUAAGCUUGAAACUGCAAACACUUGGACCCUGGGGACUGAUGCAGGUUUAACUUGCUGUUGCAUGGAAGCUCCUUUGCUUUCCAGUUCAGAUGUAAAUACUUCCUUCAUUUUGCUAUUUCAAAUCCUUUUGCAUGGGGCCCCCUGGGGUUGGAUGCCAGUGUGUUGCCUAGUUUAUUUUAACACCCUGCUCUUCUCCCUAUUUUCCCUGUGAUGCUGCUUCCGUGGCUCCCCUCACUCCUGGGAAUCUGACUCGCACAGUCACAUGGCACUCAGGUUUCAGCCCUCCAAAGAAAAGCAGCAGGUUCUAAUCUAGCGAGACAGAAUGAGUCAGCCCCAGAUCCCACUGCACCAUCCAUGGUCUCCUGCCUGUACUUGGAAAUGAGAUAACUUUGCUAAUUAAUGGUUUUAAUAAA